AUUUUUUUAAAGUGAAUUAUAUGACAUGAUACAAAUAAUGGUAUGUAAAGAAAACCCUAUUUGUCCUGAAAAAAAACAAUAUAUAAUUUGUAUGGGAACAGUAAAUGAGAGAGAGGGAAAUUACAGCUAAACAUAAACACCACAAAAGUGUUUAUACAGCCCUGGUCCUUAACGUACAACAUGGCUAAAACAGGCCGGUCCUGAAGGGGUUAAUCCUGCAGAGUCUGUUCACUCCAUGCCAAACAGUUAAAUGUUCUUCAUUUGUCAGUUCUGCAGUUUCAACAAAGCAUUCAGCUAUUCACAAACGGACAAACUGCAACCAAAUGGCUUUCAUUUGGUUUUCCAGUUUGCCAGAUACAAACCGGGUGGAAAUGCAACUAAAACUCUAACAGUGUUAUUCACCAAACUCCAAAUUUUCCCAAAUUAAAUGCUAAUGGCAAAACUCAAGGCAAAAAAAGCCAACUUGUGACAAUAACUUUACUGUAAAUCGUCCUAAUGCUCAGUCAUAUUAAUGCUUACCCCAAACUCUCCUUAAAGGGACAGUCCAGGCCCGGGGACUAUUAACCCUAUAGUGCCAGGAAAACAGCUUUGUCUGCCCAUUGUCUACAUGGAUUAUUCUAUUGUGUGUUAGUUUCCGGGUCUGACUGCCACCCUUUCCAGUGUCUGUAUUAACCAGAGAAAAAGUUAUCUGCGCUCCCUCCCAAAUCCCUGUGCCUAUUGAAAUAAAUGGAGGUCAUUUAGUAACUCCAAUGGCCACGUCAAGGCAAACCUCUUAGGUGGGUCCUACACUGACUGUUCAGCUUCAGGUAAAGCAAUCUCUGAGAUAGAGAGGGGUAUUUUUCUAAACCCACACAGUCUGUAUUGGUGCUUCCAUUUACUGAAGUUUUUACUCUGGACUGCCCUGCAGAAUUAUUAUCCUCUCUAUUUGUGGACUUUAUUGGGCUGGUAAGAAUACAGUUUCACAUUUUAUCACGCAAAUUUUUCAUGAUCAUCACAAUGCUCUUACAACAGAUUAGUGAAAUACACUUUAGUUUGUUACCACUAUUUAAUUUGCUCUCAUGUUGGAAUUAGUGUAAAACCCCCAAUAUUGGGGUACAGUGACUUAGUAGUGGUGGGCUGAAUACAAUAUGGCUACAUGCUGGUACUGAAUCCCCAUAUUUGUUUGCUAAGAUUUAAGGAAUACUUCUAAAAUGUAAAACUAAUUGUAUGUGUGCGCUGUAACUGUAUCUGUAUAUUGUAUGUGCGCUGUAACUGUAUCUGUGCGCUGUAACUGCAUAUUGUAUGUGUGCGCUGUAACUGUGCGCUGUAUAUUGUAUGUGUGCGCUGUAACUGUAUGUGUGCGCUGUAACUGUAUAUUGUAUGUGUGCGCUGUAACUAUCUGUGCGCUGUAACUGUAUAUUGUAUGUGUGCGCUGUAACUGUAUCUGUGCGCUGUAACUGUAUCUGUAUAUUGUAUGUGUGCGCUGUAACUGUAUCUGUGCGCUGUAACUGUAUAUGUAUAUUGUAUGUGUAAGCUGUAACUGUAUCUGUAUAUUGUAUGUGCGCUGUAACUGUAUCUGUGCGCUGUAACUGUAUAUUGUAUGUGUGCGCUGUAACUGUAUCUGUAUAUUGUAUGUGUGCGCUGUAACUGUAUAUUGUAUGUGUGCGCUGUAACUGUAUCUGUGCGCUGUAACUGUAUCUGUAUAUUGUAUGUGUGCGCUGUAACUGUAUCUGUGCGCUGUAACUGUAUAUGUAUAUUGUAUGUGUAAGCUGUAACUGUAUCUGUAUAUUGUAUGUGCGCUGUAACUGUAUCUGUGCGCUGUAACUGUAUAUUGUAUGUGUGCGCUGUAACUGUAUCUGUAUAUUGUAUGUGUGCGCUGUAACUGUAUAUUGUAUGUGUGCGCUGUAACUGUAUCUGUGCGCUGUAACUGUAUCUGUAUAUUGUAUGUGUGAGCUGUAACUGUAUCUGUAUAUUGUAUGUGUAAGCUGUAACUGUAUAUUGUAUGUGUGCGCU
rnacentral:lncRNA from 1 species